AUUGAACGCUGGCGGCAGGCUUAACACAUGCAAGUCGAGCGGGGGAAGGUAGCUUGCUACUGGACCUAGCGGCGGACGGGUGAGUAAUGCUUAGGAAUCUGCCUAUUAGUGGGGGACAACAUCUCGAAAGGGAUGCUAAUACCGCAUACGUCCUACGGGAGAAAGCAGGGGAUCUUCGGACCUUGCGCUAAUAGAUGAGCCUAAGUCGGAUUAGCUAGUUGGUGGGGUAAAGGCCUACAAAGGCGACGAGCUGUAGCGGGUCUGAGAGGAUGAUCCGCCACACUGGGACUGAGACACGGCCCAGACUCCUACGGGAGGCAGCAGUGGGGAAUAUUGGACAAUGGGGGGGAACCCUGAUCCAGCCAUGCCGCGUGUGUGAAGAAGGCCUUAUGGUUGUAAAGCACUUUAAGCGAGGAGGAGGCUACUCUAGUUAAUACCUAGGGACAGUGGACGUUACUCGCAGAAUAAGCACCGGCUAACUCUGUGCCAGCAGCCGCCGUAA
rnacentral:rRNA from 1 species